rnacentral:rRNA from 1 species
UGGGGAAUCUUGGACAAUGGGCGAAAGCCUGAUCCAGCGACGCCGCGUGGGGGAUGAAGCCCUUCGGGGUGUAAACCCCUGUUGCGAGGGAGGAAUAAGGCCUGGAGGAAAUGCCAGGCCGAUGACUGUACCUCGCGAGGAAGCCCCGGCUAACUACGUGCCAGCAGCCGCGGUAAUACGUAGGGGGCGAGCGUUACCCGGAUUCACUGGGCGUAAAGGGGGCGCAGGCGAUCCAGUAUGUCGGGUGUGAAAUCCCACAGCUCAACUGUGGAAUUGCGCCCGAAACUACUGGGUUUGGGGCUGGUAGAGGGAGACGGAACUGCUGGUGUAGGGGUGAAAUCCGUAGAUAUCAGCAGGAACGCCGGUGGGGAAGCCGGUCUCCUAGGCCAAGCCCGACGCUGAGGCCCGAAAGCUAGGGGAGCAAACC